GGAUUUUCAACCUCUUGCCUCAGAGGGCACAACAGAUCACUCGGGGGCGCAUGCGCAUCAUGGAGCAGUGAAGACAUCUCUGAUGUGAGCUCCGCAUGAAAGAGACAAAAGCAACCCCUAUUUAAGCCUCUAAUCCGCUUGCAGCUCCACAGGGGAUUGCCUAAGUAAGAGGUGACAACUGAAGCCAUGGGGAAAAAAAAGAAUUAGAGACACUACCUCCCCGUUUUUACAAAAACCUGCAGCGUCAGACUAACUGAGACGGAUCCAAGAUGGCGGUGGUGACCAGGAUCCGGACUUCAGCUCAGCGGCCAGUUCACCAUCGCAGCCUCAGAGGGACAUGCUGAAUCUUCCCCCCACCGCUCGGAAGGUACAGACUCUACCACUUCACAAACAGUGACUACAGAUAUACUUAUAAAACAGCUCGCCGACUUGCGAGACUUUCUCUCUCAGUAGCGAUAACUGACUCAGUUAAGUCAGCAGUACAAGAGAUCAGGGCGGACAUCUUCUCAUUAGGCCAACGAGUCGACCACCUGGAGACCGUCUCAGAUAACAUAAUUGUGCGCAACAAUACACUGGAAGAUGAACUACUGACUCUGAGAGAGGAAAUGAUCUCCCUAAAAGCACACUGCGAGGACCUGGAGAACAGAAACCGCAGACAAAAUCUGAGGAUAAGAGGUAUCCCUGAAAAUAUACAACCUAAAGACCUCAGGCAAUACCUCAGAACAUUAUUUUCAACAUUAUGUCCUGAUUUACCAGCCGAAGUGUGGCGGUUCGACAGGGCACACAGAGCACUAGGCCCUAAAAGGCCCAACCAGCAAACUCCCAGAGACGUUAUAAUCUGCUGCCAUUACUUUGAAAGCAAGGAACAAGUACUGGCCCACACUAGAAUGCUCCCACACGUGGACUUUCAAGGAACCAAGCUACAGAUAUGCAAUGAUAUUUCUCCAAUCACUCUAGCCAAGAGAAGAGAGCUGAAACAAGUGACGCAGCACCUAAGGGCCCAUAACAUCAACUAUAGAUGGGGGUACCCAUUCAAGUUAAUCUCCACUAACAAUGGGCAACAAUAUACGCUUAUGGACCCCCAACAAGCCAAGAAAUUCUUGCUCUCUAUGGGCCUCCCGCUGAUACCACAGAUGGGGCCUGAACCGCAGAAAUCUCCAAGCAAAAUGACCACUGAAUGGGAAAGAGUCGGUUCCAGCCAAUCAAGAUCCCCACGGCGGCCAUCUCUGACACCCGGACCAUCAACUUGAUCACACUGAAGGACCGUUCUCACCUGAGCAACCACUGCAGGUAUACUACUUCCACCAUAAGGACAACGACUAAACCCUGCCGACGCAGUUCCACAGAUUCGGAUACUCCAUUCCGUGAGGCCUGGACAUUCCAACUGGUGCAACAACCUUAGUACCCCACUUAAAGUGCCUGCGGUUACCAAAUCAAGGGUAACACCCCAAUAACUGACUUCUUACACCAGUUUAACUUUCCCUUUAUUUUUUUCUUUGUUGUUUUCACUGAAUUACCUGCCUAUGAACCCUCACUCUACAGCCCUCCUCCCUCUUUCUUUUCUUUUCCUCAAUACUUCCUCUCCCCUCUCUCACUCCCACUCCAUUCCUCCCUCCAUUUCCCUUCCUUCCUUCUCUCCUACCUUAUCUCCUCUAUCUGCCCUUCUCUCGGUUACUCAUAAAUUGGUUUAUUACACCUAAACAAAAGCUCCAUAAGAUGGGCAAUAAGUCCUGCAAUAUACCCCAAGCACCAUUAGCCAUGAAUCAAUCUCUGAAAGCUACAAUUUCUGACAACGCUACAGUUGUAAAAUACUUGAUCCAGGUGCUAACACGAGCUCCUACAACAAAAACCGAGAAAUCUUUCUCUAUUUUUUUCCUAAAUGUGUGGUACUACAAACACCAGAGUAUAGUUUUCAAUGUUAUUGUUAAUAUGUUUUUGAUACAAAUAUACGCAAACAUGAUACCAGACUUUUAUGCAAAACUAUCUCAACCUCUAUGGUGUGAAAGAAAUAUACUACUAUUACUAUUACUUUUUAGUAAGAUUUCUAAUCAAGUUAAAAAUAUAUGGUUUUAUCAUUUUACAUUUGAUUUUAAUACGAUCAUAAUGUAUCUAAACUAGUAGAAACAACGGCCCCCAUAACCAUCAUAAGAGGUGACUUUAA